GACGAACGCUGGCGGCGUGCUUAACACAUGCAAGUCGAACGGGCCUGUCUUCUUUUUUGGGGGGUGGGUUGAGUGGCGAACGGGUGAGUAUCACGUGAGUAACCUGCCCUUCGGUCCUGGAUAACCGCUUGAAAGGGCGGCUAAUACGGGGUGGUCCGGUUGGUCCGCAUGGGCUGGUCGGGAUAGAUUCACUGUUUUUGGUGUUUCGGCGGGGGAUGGGCUCGCGGCCUAUCAGCUUGUUGGUGGGGUGAUGGCCUACCAAGGCGGUGACGGGUAGCCGGCCUGAGAGGGUGGGCGGCCACACUGGGACUGAGAUACGGCCCAGACUCCUGCGGGAGGCAGCAGUGGGGGGUAUUGCACAAUGGGCGGAAGCCUGAUGCAGCGACGUCGCGUGAGGGAUGGAGGCCUUCGGGUUGUGAACCUCUGUUUCCGGUGGUGAAGGCCCUGUCCGUGUGGUGGGGUUGACGGUAGCCGGGGAUGAAGCGCCGGCUAACUACGUG
rnacentral:rRNA from 1 species